rfam:Jatropha curcas cultivar GZQX0401 scaffold799_8, whole genome shotgun sequence.
CUAAUGGUUUUUCUUAAAACCAAAUUUUUCUAAAAGAGUUAUAU